UCUCCGUUGGUGAACCAGCGGAGGGAUCAUUACCGAGUUUACAACUCCCAAACCCCUGUGAACAUACCAUUUGUUGCCUCGGCGGUGCCUGCUUCGGCAGCCCGCCAGAGGACCCAAACCCUUGAUUUUAUGCAGUAUCUUCUGAGUAAAUGAUUAAAUAUAUCAAAACUUUCAACAACGGAUCUCUUGGUUCUG
rnacentral:misc_RNA from 1 species